rnacentral:rRNA from 1 species
UGAGUAAAAGUUGUAACAGGUUUCCGUAGGUGAACCUGCGGAAGGAUCAUAUUAAAAGAAUAGAGUGCAUUAAUUGGGCUCGACCCCUUUUAAAUUUUACCCAAACUUUUACCUUCUUUGCAUGAUUUGAAAGAAUCAUUGUGAUUAAGUAUACGUGGCAUUCUUUAUUGAAUGUUCACAUUACCCCCCCUUUUUUUUAUUUUUUUUUUUUUAAGUAACACAAGUUUAAAUGAAUGUAAAACAACCUUUAAAUUAUAAAUAACUUUUAACAAUGGAUCUCUAGGCUCUCACAUCGAUGAAGAACACAGUGAAAUGUGAUAAGUAAUGUGAAUUGCAGAAUUCAGUGAAUCAUCGAAUCUUUGAACGCAUCUUGCGCCUUUUGGUAUUCCAAAAGGCACACCUGUUUGAGUGUCAUGAAACCCUCUCAUUAAACAUUUUUUAACUUGUUUAAACUUGUUUAGUGGAUGUUGAGUGUUGCUGUCAUUAGCUCACUUUAAAUAUAUAAGUCACUUUUCAAAUAAGUUGGAUUGACUUGGUGUAAUAAUUUUAUCAUCACAUCAAGGAAAGUAGCAAUACUUGCCAUCUUGUUUAAUAUAAGGGACUUCUAAAAACCCCCCUUUUUCAAAAGACCUCAAAUCAGGGG